CAAACUGCAUACCAGUUUCAUUUAGUUUCAAACUCCCACAACCUUUUAUCAUAACUUCCCAGUUGCAUUUCAAUAUAUGAAAAACAGACAGAACUAACCCUUUGUUCUAUAUAUGCUACCGAAUGGUCUUUUUCUCUUCGAAAGCCGCUUUGACAGUUAUAUGCACAACUUCUGUAAUUGAACCACCUUUCGGGGAAAGAAAAAUGAAGAACAAAAAGAAAAUUUUUAAGAACCUACCGAAUAGUAUCACCACAAAAUUUGCAAGGCUUGAAAUGAUCAUAUAUCUGCAAAGAAACAAAGAGUACCUGUAAAGCAAUAAUGGAAGUCAUUCAAGAACUCAACAAUUUGCAGAGGAGUUGUUGAAAGAAAAAACAUACCUGUAAAGAAUUAAGAUCAGAAAAGUUAUUAAAAGAAAAAGUAAAGAAACCCAAUUAGAUACAGGAAAGAAUGAAGCCCUGAAAAAUUGAUUACCAAAAAAAACCCAAUUAGAUAUUACGAGGGAAAUCCCAAUCAAUUCUCCACUACUUGGGAUCGUUAUCAUAUUCAUCUUUGAAAAUAAGCUGUUGUAUCAAAAGUCCGAAUGUUUGAAGGCAUAAUGUUUACUGACAUAAAGAUCAAUAGAAGAUGAACCACAGAGAGUAAUCUCACAAACUCUAAUUGUAGAUAGUAAACUGAAAUUAUGCAAUACAACAAUCUGAAGCCAAGCCAAACAAAAUUAAAGCACAACCCAAGGCAAACAAAAUUAAUUAAAGCACAACCCAAAGGAAACAAUUAAAGUACCUAGAGUUAUGCGCGUGCGAAAAGUUUUUUUUACAUCACAAAUUGUCUUCAAGGUCAUUUAAUAUAUAGUUGCUUUUUUCUCAAGUUUCUUUGGCGGAAGCUUGGAAAUGCUUCCUUUAUUGAAGAGGAAAUUAAAUUAGUGAAUUAGUUGAUUAUGAACUAAAACCAUAAAAUGGAGAAAUUUUUAAUUGUGACGGGAACACGGAUGGUGCACCACGUGUUUUUAUGUAAGUGGUGGAAAAUUUUAAUUUGUAAAUUAUUAACCUUUUAACACACAUAUCCCACCAUGUAUAUAAGAACACGUGGUGUACCGCCUCAUGUGACGGUCACACUGAAAAAUCUCAACACAAAAUGAAAUGAGGCAACCCACUCACAUUUGAAACAUGGCCGACAAUUCAACAUGAUGUUAAAAAAAUUCCAGAGGAUGUUAAUUUGCUGCAAGAAGUCCAUCAAAAUUAUUAAAAAAAUUAAUUGAAAGCAAAUAUGUGAUCAAAAUUGAAAAUUGAGAGAGAAUGAAAAUUGAAGACAUGAAUUACUAACCAAAUAAAAAUUUCAAUUUUUGGAAAAGAAUUUGUUCUAAAAGUGAUUUACGCCCUAAAAUUCAUAACCAUCUAUUUGUAUGAAAAAUGAAAAAAGCAAAACUGAAGGGAACUGGUUGGAUUAAUUGGAACACUGCGUCUGCAAUUUCAUUGAUCCUUCUUCCCUAUGCGAAGAAGAAAUCAAACAGAGUAUUACAACUUUGAAUUUAAACAAAAAGUAUUAAAAGGAUUACUAAAACUAUUAAAGCAAAAGACAUUACCCUAAACCCUACUAUUCCGGAGCCCAAUAAGGUGUGGAUCUGCCUCAAAUUUACCAUUUGAAGUUGGACUCUUCACAAAGCUACGAUAGCUUCAGCUUACCAGGCCCGAGUUAAUUAAUAAGUUAAGCUUUGGAAAAGUUAGCUCCAACUUAAGGUAUUAUACUGGCUCCAAUUGCUCAAACAAUCACUUAUUUAAUAAAAAUGAAAACUAAUAAAAAGGGUUUGAAAACUUUGAGUUUUAAUGAUAAGGACAAAAUAAAGGGUAAAGUGAAUAGUACCAGGAUUGACUUUUUAGUGUAAAAAUAUGGUUUUUCGUUAAAAUGAACAGUACCGGGUGUUUUUCGUUAAAGUUCCCUUAAUAAAACUGUGUCUUCGAAUUUUAUACAUAAACAACCACUUGCAUUUGCAAUUUAAAAUAAAUAAACAAAAAAGGGAUAGAGUUUGUGAAAAUUCAAGAAGAUAGUAGUUGGGCUUGGAGGUAUCAAUUUCAUCAGGGGUUUGAAAAAGUCCGAUUUCCUCCCAAUGACGCUGCCAUC
rnacentral:lncRNA from 1 species